UCGGGAAUAUUGCGCAAUGGAGGAAACUCUGACGCAGUGACGCCGCGUGCAGGAAGAAGGUUUUCGGAUUGUAAACUGCUUUAGACAGGGAAGAAUAAUGACAGUACCUGUAGAAUAAGCUCCGGCUAACUACGUGCCAGCAGCCGCGGUAAUACGUAGGGAGCAAGCGUUAUCCGGAUUUAUUGGGUGUAAAGGGUGCGUAGACGGGAGAGCAAGUUGGUUGUGAAAUCCCUCGGCUUAACUGAGGAACUGCAACCAAAACUAUUCUUCUUGAGUGCUGGAGAGGAAAGUGGAAUUCCUAGUGUAGCGGUGAAAUGCGUAGAUAUUAGGAGGAACACCAGUGGCGAAGGCGACUUUCUGGACAGUAACUGACGUUGAGGCACGAAAGUGUGGGGAGCAAACA
rnacentral:rRNA from 1 species